rnacentral:rRNA from 1 species
GGAUCAGGUAGGGAUACCCGCUGAACUUAUGCAUAUCAAUAAGCGGAGGAAAAGAAACCAACAGGGAUUGCCCUAGUAACGGCGAGUGAAGCGGCAACAGCUCAAAUUUGAAAUCUGGCGUCUUUGGCGUCCGAGUUGUAAUUUGCAGAGGGCGCUUUGGCAUUGGCAGCGGUCCAAGUUCCUUGGAACAGGACGUCACAGAGGGUGAGAAUCCCGUACGUGGUCGCUAGCCUUUACCGUGUAAAGCCCCUUCGACGAGUCGAGUUGUUUGGGAAUGCAGCUCUAAAUGGGAGGUAAAUUUCUUCUAAAGCUAAAUACUGGCCAGAGACCGAUAGCGCACAAGUAGAGUGAUCGAAAGAUGAAAAGCACUUUGGAAAGAGAGUUAAAAAGCACGUGAAAUUGUUGAAAGGGAAGCGCUUGCAGCCAGACUUGCCUGUAGUUGCUCAUCCGGGUUUCUACCCGGUGCACUCUUCUAUAGGCAGGCCAGCAUCAGUUUGGGCGGUUGGAUAAAGGUCUCUGUCAUGUACCUCCUUUCGGGGAGAACUUAUAGGGGAGACGACAUGCAACCAGCCUGGACUGAGGUCCGCGCAUCUGCUAGGAUGCUGGCGUAAUGGCUGUAAGCGGCCCGUCUUGAAACACGGACCAAGGAGUCUAACAUCUAUGCGAGUGUUUGGGUGUCAAGCCCGAGCGCGUAAUGAAAGUGAACGGAGGUGGGAACCUUUCGGGGUGCACCAUCGACCGAUCCUGAUGUCUUCGGAUGGAUUUGAGUAAGAGCAUAGCUGUUGGGACCCGAAAGAUGGUGAACUAUGCUUGAAUAGGGUGAAGCCAGAGGAAACUCUGGUGGAGGCUCGCAGCGGUUCUGACGUGCAAAUCGAUCGUCAAAUUUGGGCAUAGGGGCGAAAGACUAAUCGAACUAUCUAGUAGCUGGUUCCUG